AAAAAGGCAAACCUUAGGUUUCCGUGUCUAACUUUGACUGUCCGUUUUAUAUAAAUUUUUUUUAUAAUUCAUAAUUUUAUUGUUGUUAAAUGAUAAAACAUGAUUAAUACUUUGUGCGUGACUUGUUUUUUUAAUUUUUUUUAUAAUUUUUUCAAAUAAGACGGACGGUCAAACAUUGAACACGGAAACC
rnacentral:pre_miRNA from 1 species